GACGGAGGGUGCAAACGUUGUUCGGAUUUACUGGGCGUAAAGCGCGUGUAGGCGGCUUGGCAAGUCGGAUGUGAAAGCCCACGGCUCAACCGUGGAAGCGCAUCCGAAACUGCUUCGCUCGAGUCUCGGAGAGGAAGGUGGAAUGCUUGGUGUAGAGGUGAAAUUCGUAGAUAUCAAGCAGAACACCUGCGGCGAAGGCGGCCUUCUGGACGAUGACUGACGCUGAGACGCGAAAGCGUGGGGAGCAAACAGG
rnacentral:rRNA from 1 species